CAGCCGCCGCGGGAAUACGUAGGUGGCAAGCGUUGUCCGGGAUUAUUGGGCGUAAAGGGCUCGCAGGCGGUUUCUUAAGUCUGAUGUGAAAGCCCCCGGCUCAACCGGGGAGGGUCAUUGGAAACUGGGAAACUUGAGUGCAGAAGAGGAGAGUGGAAUUCCACGUGUAGCGGUGAAAUGCGUAGAGAUGUGGAGGAACACCAGUGGCGAAGGCGACUCUCUGGUCUGUAACUGACGCUGAGGAGCGAAAGCGUGGGGAGCGAACAGGAUUAGAUACCCGCGUAGUCCCUGUCUCUUAUAC
rnacentral:rRNA from 1 species